rnacentral:lncRNA from 1 species
AUCUAGAUAGAAAUAUGUGAAGCGCAGAAUUUGACAGAUUUCCGUGUGGGAAAAUCUGUCAACAUAUGUGUAGCAAAAUUCCAGUAAAAAUUAUAAAUCUAAAAAAACUAAAAUAAACUAUAAAUUAGAUGGAUGGAGUAGAAGCCAAGCAAUGACAGUGGCCACCGGGAUUUAUAUAAGGAAACGCAUCGUUCUGUCGUCCAAUAUUUUUACUUUCUUUUGCAGAUUUAGCUAGGAAAAGGU